rnacentral:lncRNA from 1 species
UCUCAGUCCCCGCCUCGUGUGGGGUGCCUCCCCCCCCCGCAAUGGGGGUCCUAAGAGCCAGGGGAGGAAGAGAGGCUGGCUCUCAGUCCCUGCCUCGCGGGGGGUGCCUCCCUCACCAGCAAUGGGGCUCCUAAGAGCCAGGGGGGAAGAGGGGCUGGCUCCGGUACAUUGCAAAUGACCUGCUUUUUUUCUGAUCCCGAGCUGCGUUCAGACCCCUGUCGGAUAGUAAAUCCCAAGUAAGGUACCUUCUGCUGGAAGAUCUGAGCUUUCUUCUUGGACACCUAAAACCCACAGUCCUCCAGCAGUGAAGGAUCCAGUGAGAUUUUCCAGGUUAACGGUCAUAAUCGCCUACUGGUCCAACGUUCAGAAGUAACACAGGCACCUGGACAAUACACAGUAGAUGUGGAAGGACACGGUUGUACAUUUAUCCAGG